AUUGAUUGUUUUGUUUUGUUUAUUCAUUGUCGUGUGUAUUUAGUGUUUUGUAUUUAUAGUUCUGUGUAUUUAUUGUCCUUUCUAUUUAUUGUAUUGCCCUGUGUGUUUAUUGUUUUGUCCUGUGUAUUUAUUUUGUUGUGUUUAUUCAUUGUCGUGUGUAUUUAUUGUCCUAUGUAUUUAUUGUUUUGUCGUGUGUUUAUUGUUUUGUCUCGUGUGUUUGUUUGUCCUGUGUAUUUAUUGUUUUGUCCUGUGUAUUUAUUGUCCUUUCUAUUUAUUGUUUUGUCUUGUUCUUUUAUUGUCCUGUGUAUUUAUUGUUUUGUUUAUUUAUUGUCCUGUGUAUUUAUUGUCCUGUCUAUUUAGUGUAUUGUCCUGUGUAUUUAUUGUUUUGUCCUGUGUAUUUAUUGUUUUGUCCUUUCUAUUUAUUGUUUUGUCCUGUGUAUUUAUUGUUUUGUCCUUUCUAUUUAUUGUUUUGUCCUGUGUAUUUAUUGUCCUUUCUAUUUAUUGUUUUGUCUUGUUCUUUUAUUGUCCUGUGUAUUUAUUGUUUUGUUUAUUUAUUGUCCUGUAUAUUUAUUGUCCUGUGUAUUUAUUGUCCUGUCUAUUUAGUGUAUUGUCCUGUGUAUUUAUUGUUUUGUCCUGUGUAUUUAUUGUUUUGUCCUGUGUAUUUAUUGUUUUGUCCUGUUUUUGUCCUGUGUAUUUAUUGUUUUGUCCUGUGUAUUUAUUGUCCUGUGUAUUUGUUUUGUCCUGUGUAUUUAUUGUCCUGUGUAUUUAUUGUCCUGUGUAUUUAUUGUAUUGUCCUGUGUAUUUGUUUUGUCCUGUGUAUUUAUUGUCCUGUGUAUUUAUUGUAUUGUCCUGUGUAUUUAUUGUCCUGUGUAUUUGUUUUGUUCUGUGUGUUUAUUGUUUUGU
ensembl:lncRNA